rnacentral:rRNA from 1 species
UACGUAGGUGGCAAGCGUUGUCCGGAAUUAUUGGGCGUAAAGCGCGCGCAGGUGGUUUCUUAAGUCUGAUGUGAAAGCCCACGGCUCAACCGUGGAGGGUCAUUGGAAACUGGGGAACUUGAGUGCAGGAGAGAAGAGUGGAAUUCCACGUGUAGCGGUGAAAUGCGUAGAGAUGUGGAGGAACACCAGUGGCGAAGGCGGCGUCCUGGCUCGCAUCUGACGCUCAGACACGACAGCAUGGGGAGCGAACGGG